GAAAAUAAUACUAACCUUAAAUGGUUGUUUUGAAGAUUAAGAAAACUGAAGUAAAUAGUAAAGUAAAUGUUGGUUCGUUCAUUUAGUCGACAGUAACAAUAUUUCCAUUUAUUCUUUCUCUAAGUUGAUGUUUAUACAGUGAGUUCAAACUUUUUAUUCAGACUUUCUGAGUGAUCGGUGCAGUCCCUAAUUCAUGGGCUGUUUUCCUCCAUGAACUCUGUGAAGCAUUAUUGCUAUUUCUUCUUCACAUAAAGAAAUCAAGAUUGAAAGAAGAUUUAAAAACUUGGCACAAGGUCACACAACUAGUAAAUAUUAGGAUCAGAAUAAAACCUAGGUCUGG
rnacentral:lncRNA from 1 species